ACGUAGGGGGCAAGCGUUGUCCGGAAUGAUUGGGCGUAAAGGGCGCGUAGGUGGCCUGUUAAGUCUGGUGUGAAAGUCCUGGUCUCAAGCCGGAAGUUGCUUUGGAUACUGUCAGGCUUGAGUGCAGGAGAGGUAAGUGGAAUUCCCGGUGUAGCGGUGAAAUGCGUAGAUAUUGGGAGGAACACCAGUGGCGAAGGCGUCUUACUGGACUGUAUCUGACACUGAGGCGCGAAAGCUAGGGGAGCAAACAG
rnacentral:rRNA from 1 species